GUGCCUAUGGUGUAAUGGUUAGCACCGGGGCCUGUGGAGCCCCUAGUACCGGUUCGAAUCCGGUUAGGCACC
rnacentral:tRNA from 1 species